CUUCAUUACCCCACGGGUUUGUUCGCACGCCAAGGACCCAAAUCGUCAUAACCUCGAAGCUUCCGUUCGAUUGAAUCGGAGGUAAAACAAGUCGGCCACCGCCUUCUCCGUCGCCGGAUAACUCAUUGAUCCCGUCGUUCUAACAGAAAUCCGAUAUUCGUGAUUAUAGUUUUCUGAAUUUGAUUCAGGCGAGUUGCGUAUAGGGUUUUGAUUAAUUCGCGAUAUGCCGAUUCGGCGUAGUACGAGUUUCAAAGUUUUGACGGUUUUUCUUCUUGUUUCGGCAUCUCUGAGCUGCUGUUCAGGGGGCGAAGAAUCGGCGGUUGUUACGCUUGAUUCCAUCGUAAUAUACAAGACGCACGAAUGGUUAGCUUCGAAACCGACUGUUUAUUUUAAAUGUCAAGGGGGAAAUAAGACGAAAUUGCCUGAUGUACAGAAAGUGCAUGUUCUAUACAGCUUCAAUGGUGAAGAAUCUUGGCAGCCAUUGACUGAAUUUAAAAGCAAAAAAUGUAAGCGAUGUGGGUUCUAUGAGGAGGACAGCAUUAAAUCUGAUGAUGUAUUUGAAGAAUGGGAGUUAUGUCCAUCUGAUUUUACCGCACCCGAUGGGGAAUAUGUUCGAUACAACAAAAAAGAGUUCAAUGCCACUUUUCUGUGCUUGGAGUGCACUGCUUAUUCCAAUGUUACCAGUUCAAGCUCACAUUCACAGGAUACAGAAAAGGGAAUGCAUGCUGCUGCAAUCAUACUUAUCAGUGUUAUAGUUUCAACUGUGUUAAUUAUUGGUAUGGUGAUAGGAUACAAGUACUGGCAAAAAAAGAGAAGAGAGCAAGAUCAGGCCAGAUUCCUGAAGCUGUUUGAAGAUGGUGAUGACAUCGAGGAUGAAUUGGGCCUUAACGAUGUAAUUUGAGAAGAUUUGGUACACAUCAAGAAAGAGAAAUACAUCUUUCUUGGAGGGGAUGAAAAGCAGCAAAAGGAAGAGAAAAAGAAAGGCAUCAUCACCAGGCAAGAGAUAUGCCUUGCGCAGACCGUCGGCGUAGUGGCUAACAUGUGCUACACACCAUUGCUCUUAUCUUCUGAGGUACAUGCCAAUGAAGGCACUCUUUCAGUCCCUGGACAUGCAAUUUACUAAUGAUGUUAGUACACCAUUUUUAUGGCUUCAACUCAACAAUAUUUGGUUGUAUUUCGUUCGUUCUCUCUCUCGAGAAAGUAAUAACUCAGUCCAUAAACGUUAGUUUGUGUUGUUACCAACUUCUGGACGGAAAAAAUAUAUUUGUCCUUCACGUGAAAA